AAAACUCUAACCUCAUUCUCUUUCUUUCUUUUCUUUUCUUUUUCUUUCUUCUUCCUUGUUUUCUCUUCUUUUUCUUGAUAAUUUUUGGGUAAAAUCUAAGAGCACAAGGAGAACACAUUUGGAGCAGAAAUAUUUUGGGAAAAUCAAGAGCAAGCUAUCAAGAAUCCAAAUUCAAAAGAGUUUUAUCUUCACUCUUGUAUUUUCUUCAUUAUUGUUUCUUAUUUGCAAUGUAUUGUGUAAAAUAUUCUCCUUUUUAUCACAUGUAUAAAAUGUGCUAUUUUAUUGUUUU
rnacentral:lncRNA from 1 species